UGGCCAGACUCCUACGGGAGGCAGCAGUGAGGAAUAUUGGUCAAUGGGCUUACGCCUGAACCAGCCAAGUCGCGUGAGGGAAGACUGCCCUAUGGGUUGUAAACCUCUUUUGUCAGGGAGCAAUUGGCGCUACGUGUAGCGUUAUCGAGAAUACCUGAAGAAAAAGCAUCGGCUAACUCCGUGCCAGCAGCCGCGGUAAUACGGAGGAUGCGAGCGUUAUCCGGAUUUAUUGGGUUUAAAGGGUGCGUAGGCGGGAUGCCAAGUCAGCGGUAAAAAUGCGGUGCUCAACGCCGUCGAGCCGUUGAAACUGGCGUUCUUGAGUGGGCGAGAAGUAUGCGGAAUGCGUGGUGUAGCGGUGAAAUGCAUAGAUAUCACGCAGAACUCCGAUUGCGAAGGCAGCAUACCGGCGCCCUACUGACGCUGAGGCACGAAAGCGUGGGUAUCGAACAGGAUUAGAUACCCUUGUAC
rnacentral:rRNA from 1 species